GACGAACGCUGGCGGCGUGCCUAAUACAUGCAAGUUGAGCGCUGAAGGUUGGUACUUGUACCGACUGGAUGAGCAGCGAACGGGUGAGUAACGCGUGGGGAAUCUGCCUUUGAGCGGGGGACAACAUUUGGAAACGAAUGCUAAUACCGCAUAAAAACUUUAAACACAAGUUUUAAGUUUGAAAGAUGCAAUUGCAUCACUCAAAGAUGAUCCCGCGUUGUAUUAGCUAGUUGGUGAGGUAAAGGCUCACCAAGGCGAUGAUACAUAGCCGACCUGAGAGGGGGAUCGGCCACAUUGGGACUGAGACACGGCCCAAACUCCUACGGGAGGCAGCAGUAGGGAAUCUUCGGCAAUGGACGAAAGUCUGACCGAGCAACGCCGCGUGAGUGAAGAAGGGUUUCGGAUCGUAAAACUCUGUUGGUAGAGAAGAACGUUGGUGAGAGUGGAAAGCUCAUCAAGUGACGGUAACUACCCAGAAAGGGACGGCUAACUACGUG
rnacentral:rRNA from 1 species